GUGCACUGUUCGUAACCUUGUUCAGCCAUCAAUGUGAACUCGGGUUCCAUUCCAGUGCCAGAUUGAGCUUCCCGUGAGGCAGGGGAGUAGCGCCCCCUUUUGUGCUCGCUCCCUGUUCACUCUCUGGAAACACGC
rnacentral:snoRNA from 1 species